AACAAGUUAGAAUAGAGUUAGAACAUGGCUUUCAGGUGAUGACAUUUUCUGUCGUUUUUUUCUCGGAGGAGGAUGAUUGUGUGGCAGCAGUUCCACGCCAGGAUGGAGCAGUACUCCAAGGCAGCAGAGAGGUACUCCACGCCACCAUGUACAGGAUGGCUACAUAGGGCAAGAAGGCAGAGGUAGGGGGAAGUUUUAGCUCUGCACAUGAAGAAAAUUUGGAGAAGAUCAAGUGGCUGACUGAAGAGAAGGUUGAGCUGAGGGCACAGCUGGCUCUACAAUCAGAAUGUCAAGCUGAGGGCACAGCUGCAUCUACAAUCAGGAGCCAUAAGGAAGAAUCUUUCCAACCGGGAUGCCACUGAUGAGGCUGUCCAGAACCAGGUCCCCAGGUACCAGAAAGGGGCAGCUGACCGUGCAGGUGGGAGAUGUCGCGGCGGUACAAGGGACCUGCCGUGAAUAUGAAUGACAUCUCCAACACAACCAAUAUUGCUGCUAAGCUGCAGUACUGUAGCCUAUUUCUUAUUUUAUUUUAUUUUUUAC
ensembl:lncRNA